rnacentral:rRNA from 1 species
CUUUACUGCAACUUGACGUUGGAACUUGGCUGUAUUUGUGUAGGAUAGGUGGGAGACUUUGAAGCAGGGCCGCCAGGUCUUGCGGAGUCGUCGUUGAAAUACCACCCUGCUGCUGACGAGUUUCUAACCGUGUCCGUAAGCCGGACAUGAGACAGCGUCUGGUGGGCAGUUUGACUGGGGCGGUCGCCUCCUAAAAGGUAACGGAGGCAUUCAAAGGUCCCCUCAGCGUGGUCGGUAAUCACGCGCAGAGUGCAAACGCAUAAGGGGGCUUAACUGCGAGACCGACAGGUCGAGCAGGUACGAAAGUAGGAGUUAGUGAUCCCGCGGUUUAGCGUGGAAUUGCCGUUGCUCAAUGGAUAAAAGGUA